UAUUCUAUUAACUAACGGAGCUAGAACUGAUGUGUCCAAGGAUGGUAAAACUCUACUGCAUUAUGCUGGUAAAUCUGGUAAAGUUGAAAUGCUGGAGUUUUGGAUCAAGAGAGGAAAUUAUGAUGUGAAUGUUAAAGAUAAAAGGAACAGAACUCCAUUGUUUAAUGCUGUAAAGAGCGGU